AUUGAACGCUGGCGGCAGGCCUAACACAUGCAAGUCGAACGAGUGGCGGACGGGAGAGUAAUGUCUGGGAAACUGCCCGAUGGGGGGGGAUAACUACUGGAAACGGUAGCUAAUACCGCAUACCAUCGGAUGUGCCCAGAUGGGAUUAGCUAGUCGGGGGGGUAACGGCUCACCUAUGCGACGAUCCCUAGCUGGUCUGAGAGGAUGAACAGCCAGACUGGAACUGAGAAACGGUCCAGACUCCUACGGGAGUCAGCGGUGGGUAAUAUUGCACAAUGGGCGCAAGCCGGAUGCAGCCAUGCCGCGUGUAUGAAGAAGUCCUUCGGGUUGUAAAGUCCUUUCAGCGAGUAGGCGUUACUCGCAGAAGAAGCACCGGCUAACUCCGUGCCAGCAGCCGCGGUAAUAC
rnacentral:rRNA from 1 species